rnacentral:rRNA from 1 species
CCCUUAGAUGUCCGGGGCUGCACGCGCGCUACACUGAAGGAAUCAGCGUGCUAAAACCAUUGUCGAAAGGCAUUGGUAAACCCAUUAAAAUCCUACGUGAUUGGGAUCGGGAAUUGCAAUUAUUUCCCUUGAACGAGGAAUUCCCAGUAAGUGUGGGUCAUAAGCUCGCGUUGAUUACGUCCCUGCCCUUUGUACACACCGCCCGUCGCUGCCCGGGACUGAGCCGUUUCGAGAAAAGCGGGGACUGCUGCUGUCGGGGCUUUCGGGCCUUGGCUUCGGUGGAAACCGCUUUUAUCGCAGUGGCUUGAACCGGGCAAAAGUCGUAACA